rnacentral:rRNA from 1 species
AUGUUAACUAAACCUCUCACUAUUCUGUUAAAGAAGCAAGCAUUCCAGUGGACUGAAACUGCUCAGACUGCUUUUCAACUUCUGAAGCAAGCUAUGGCCACUACCCCUGUGUUAGCCUUGCCAGAUUUUAACAAAUCCUUCACAGUGGAAACAGAUGCGUGCAACACUGGGAUAGGUGCAGUGCUCACACAAGAGGGACAUCCCAUUGCAUACUACAGCAAGGCCUUGGGCACAAAUAGCCAGAAAAUUUCCAUCUAUGAAAAAGAAUUUAUGGCCAUAACGAUGGCUGUGGAUAGAUGGAGAUCAUAUCUAUAA